AUUGAACGCUGGCGGCAUGCCUUACACAUGCAAGUCGAACGGCAGCACGGGAGCAAUCCUGGUGGCGAGUGGCGAACGGGUGAGUAAAGUAUCGGAACGUGCCCAGUCGUGGGGGAUAACGUAGCGAAAGUUACGCUAAUACCGCAUACGAUCUAUGGAUGAAAGCGGGGGAUCGCAAGACCUCGCGCGAUUGGAGCGGCCGAUAUCAGAUUAGGUAGUUGGUGGGGUAAAGGCUCACCAAGCCGACGAUCUGUAGCUGGUCUGAGAGGACGACCAGCAACACUGGGACGGAGACACGGCCCAGACUCCUACGGGAGGCAGCAGUGGGGAAUUUUGGACAAUGGGCGAAAGCCUGAUCCAGCCAUGCCGCGUGAAGGAUGAAGGCCUUCGGGUUGUAAACUGCUUUUGUACGGAACGAAAAGGUUUGGCCUAAUAAGCUGAGCUCAUGACGGUACCGUAAGAAUAAGCACCGGCUAACUACGUGCCAGCAGCCGCCGUAA
rnacentral:rRNA from 1 species